rnacentral:lncRNA from 1 species
GAAAAAUGUAUUAAACAGGCAAUUGAGACAUUAAGGGAGCAGCAUAAAUCGGUAUGGGGCGGAGUUGUUUGCUUCCCUUCUUCAUCAAAUGUCUGGCUUCCUUUUACAAUGCUAGAGAACUUUUAGAACAACGCCCGGUAGGCAAUGUUAAUUAAGUCUGUGUCCUGUGAAGUGAGACUUGCCUCCACACCCGUUCAGAGGUGGACAGUAUUGCUCAGAGUGGGUGCUGUUGGCUAAAAUGACAGUCUCAUAAUGGCAAGGCCUUCACUUGCUCGAAUCAGCAGUAUUUCAGGAACAAGCACCCACUAAAUAGACUCUUUCUAAUUUCAAAAUGCAAGUAAAGGUUUUCUAAUCUGAAAUGUUCACUGAGAACUCCAAUUAGUUAGAAUAAAUUAAUUGUUUGAAUAAUUUAAGAAUGAGGUUCUUCCAUCUCAUGUUUCAUAACUUUGUAAAACAUCCACGUGCAUUUUCCUUAAAACACAGAGAUUUGUGAAAAACAAUUGAAUAAAAUAUGGAGUUAGUUGUUAGAGAAUUACCUAUCUCAGUACCCUUGGGCUUAAACUAACUUCCUUCCUUCCUUCUUUCCUCUUUUUCUUCCUUUCUUUUCUCUUUUCUUUUCUUUUCCUUUCUUUCCUUUCCUUUCCUUUCCUUUUCUCUCUCUCUCUUUCUUUCUUUCUUUCUUUCUUUCUUUCUUUCUUUCUUCUCAUUCUUUCAUUCUUUUGGAUUUGGUAGCAUCUUUUAUAGACAUUUAUUGAUUUACUUUCAUUUUUUUCAUCCACUCAAAAAUAGCUCUAAAAUUUACUAGAAAAAUGCUCUACAAUUUUUCUGUGCUUCUAUGGGCACCUCAUAGUUACUGACCAUUCUCCAGCGAUUCUGUCCACAAGUUCAUUGAUUAAGCCAACAAUGUCUGAGUCCUUUUUCUCCCCUUGCAUGCAUGACAUAGACAAUCUUUCUUCCAUGCUCAGUUUUCUAGACUCCUUUUGCUAUGUGUACCUUUCUCAAGAUAAAAUCAAUGGAAACACUGAAAUCAAUAUUUCUUACUGUUUAUCCAAAGAUAUUCUUAAGAAUUUAUUGGCUUUUUCUCGUGUCU